CAGGUUCUGUACUGGAAUGAUACCGAGAAGACGGACAGCAGCAUAUUUGAGCUAACAGAAAGAGAAAUCAAUACAGACAUCAAAGAAGGGAAUUUAUUUUUCAAAGACACAGGAGCAAAAUUGGAUCACAGUUAUAGCACAUUUUGAAGCAGACUAUAAGGUGGAAUAGCUAGGUA